UACAGAGGGUGCAAGCGUUGUUCGGAAUUAUUGGGCGUAAAGGGCGCGUAGGCGGCGUGGUAAGUCAGCUGUGAAAUCUCCGAGCUUAACUCGGAACGGUCAGCUGAUACUGCUGUGCUAGAGUACAGAAGGGGCAAUCGGAAUUCUUGGUGUAGCGGUGAAAUGCGUAGAUAUCAAGAGGAACACCUGAGGCGAAGGCGGGUUGCUAGGCUGAUACUGACGCUGAUGCGCGAAAGCUAGGGUAGCAAACGGG
rnacentral:rRNA from 1 species